AACACAAAUUUUGCAAUUUUUACUUCCUGUCACACCGCUUUGCCACGUCCUUGGAACGCUGUAAUAAUAAUUAAUUUUCACUCACGAAUCAAAUGUUAUUAAGCAAUUACUGAAUUUGUUUAUGGUCCAUUCAUUAAUGCGCAUUUAACCUCGUCAGUGAUGAUUUUUUUUGUGAAUUGUUGGAAAUAGUGCAAGUCAGUUAUCACAACAAUCGCAAUGUUAUCAGUUGGGUUUUAUCAUUGAUUUGCAUGUCUAGUCGAGUAACUAAUUCUUGGGGAAAUAAUUCGCCGCUUGUGGAAAAAUGUGUUAGUGAUAGCAGAAGGACAUUCACUUGAUGUAUUUAUGGCUUGUUAUAUCACAGAGAAAAAUAACAAUGGGUUUUAUUGUUUUAUUUUGUUUGUUAUUUUUUUCGCGGCGAUUAUUGGUUCAUAAAUGGGAUUACCGAUGUGGGUUUAUUUGCUUUUCCUAAUGUUUUUGUAAUUUGAAAUAAAUGGGUUUGGGGAAAACAGCGGGGGUACUUAAGUACUGGCACAUCUGGUCAUCUCAAGCCGGAUAUUGGGCACAAUAGAACACAUGUUGCCUUUAUCUUUCUAUUUUCUUAAAAUAGGACCAUUGGAAUGCAAACGGCAUUUAAAAGUGAUUUAUCUUGUAUCAGAUGAUCUUGCAAAAAUUAAUUCUUGUGAAAGGGGCGUUCAAGAUAUAAUCUGAACAAUGAUAGAUAAUAAAUGGAAUUAAUUAAUUGGUUUAAAAUUGACUGAAACUGAAUAUCGCAUAUCAGUUUAUGCGAGACAAAGAUGAAAAAUUAGGCGAAAACUUCAAUUAAAUUCGAGUUUAGUUUAUCGAAGCGUGAAGUAAGAGCUGUUAAAAGCAUCGAAAAAAAACUGUGUUUAGAUAUUCUCAUUAUUUAUAAAAAAUAGUUAAUAAAUAGUAAUAUUCGGUCGGAUAUUUAUUAUAAGGGACUGGAUUUUUAGGACAAAAAACAAAAAUUAGAAUGUUUUGUAUAGUUUGUCACUACCUAAGUUUUCCACAACUCCCGGAGUACAUUUUACAAGAAUUUACACUUUCUUGACGAGUUAAAUUGGUUUAGUAAGUGACAGGUCUACUAAUUUUGUUAUGUCAUUACUAAAGAAAGAGUGAGAAAAAAAUAUUCUGAAUAAAAGACCAAUACACAAGAGACUGAAAAGGUCUAAGUGAUUGAAAGAGUGGUAUAUUAAAACUGAAAUUAUAAGACAGUGAAGCAACGAAAAAUUGAAAAAUUUAGGAAAUAGGUAAAUGCGAAAAAUGCAUGGAAAAUUAAGAAACUAAAAUGGUGAAAUACUGAGAAUAAACUUAAAAAUUGUGUAACUGAAACAAUAAAAAACUAUGAGAUUGAAAGGCUGGAAGUCUAGGAGGAUUGUUAAAAGUUGAAUAACGUGAAAAAGUUAAAUGGAACACCCUAUUUUUGUUUUAUGCCUUUGAAAGAUUAUUAAAUUGUCUAUGUGAAAACAUAAGUCAUAAAUUUAUUAUGCUACUUUGGUACGUUUUUGAAAAAAUCUUGCGAAACAAUUAAGUUUUCCUGAAAAAUUUGCGAAAUGUUUGAGUUUGAACACGAACUAAUUGCGAGAAUCAAUUUUCUUCGAAAACAAAUCGAUCACAAUUUAUCGACGAUUUUUUAAACCACGUGUAAUAGCAAAUUUGAACGUUCUUAGAGAAAACAAUGAAAUUCCAGAUGGAUUGGGCGACAUUUACAAAAUAAUCAAACAAUAACUUUUUGCUCAGUAUUAAUCGCCUUAUGAUUGGUCUGUUUUACACUUGGGAGUGCAUUCUCCCUCCCCGAUAUCCAAUGACAAAUGCUUCAAUCGUCUUGCAAUUUUUUGUGCAGCAGAUAAUCAAGAAGGAGGUGAUUUCUUUAUUUUUAUUGGCCAAAUUAUUCACUUCGGGAACAAAUAAAACACGAGCAAACAGGUUUUAGGGUCGGUCUUUCACACAACGGGAUUUCGCCUUAGAUGCGAAUAAAAUGGUCGAUCCUGUUUAGUUUUUUAAACAUUUUGUUUUAUUUUUAUUAUUACACAAAAACUACAAAUCCUAGAAAAGUAUCAAUUGGAAAAUCUACACCAUCGGAUUGGAAAAAAUAAUAAUUACAAUUAUAACAAUUAAAAUCAAUAAAUUUUUAAAAUCAAAAUUAACAAUUGGCCAAGCAAUUUUCAUAUUUUUA